rnacentral:lncRNA from 1 species
UAGAAGUAUCUUUAUCAGAUUUGGCAUUAUUUUCAUAAGAACAUAUCAAGUAUAACAUGUACGACUGAAAAAUAUGAAAGAUAUGCAAUAGUUCAUUUUCUAUUUUUCAGAAGAUCAAAAGGAAUUUUCAUCAAAAAUAGAUUUAAUAGAAACCAUAUGUAUGACAAGCAGUGAUGAUAGCUUUUUAAAAAAAAUGACUAUCAUACAACAUUGUCUUUUUCAUUUCUUCAAGGAUUCUAUUAACCCUAUUUUACUUAUGGUGUCCUUGGUGCAGAAAUAAUUGUAUUCAAUAUUAUUUUCUGUGCAAACCUCAUCAGAAUUUUGGUUUUCAACAAUGUGCCAUGAUACUCUUUAUCUUCACAGUUUGGAAACCUUUUUCAUUUGAAACACUUUUAUAAGAUUUAGCAAAUACAGAAAAUACUUCAAUUUUAUUUGCCAAGAACAAAUCCAAUGUAAGCUUUUAGAAAACUUAGUGAUGGAAACAACAUCUUUAGAUUUAGAAAUUGAUUCUUAUUUGUUUCAUGCAUAGCAAACUUUGACC